AACAUUGGAAAUAAUUUAAAAAAUUUGCUUUGGUCCGAUUGAAAAAAGUACUAUACUACCAAAUAGUUACAUCUAUUCUGUAGCAAUAAAAGUUAUAAAAUUCUGUCUAUUAUUAAUUUUAAUAUUAUAAAGUGUAUCGUUUAACUCUUAGCCAUUAUUUAUAAUUUAAUUGUUAAUUAUGCCUAAAAAAACGAAUUAACAACUUUGGUAUUGUUUGGAAGGUAAACAGCUUAAUUCCUUUAUGUAAAGCCACCUUAACAUGUUUUUGCAUAAUUCUGACUCACGUUGGUUGCUAUCGGGCUUAAGCCAUAAAAAUCGAAGAAAAAAAGAAGAAGACGAAGAGACUUUCACUUGUCAUUUCAAUGUCACUUUCCGGCCCACAAGCAUAAACGCCACCGGCAACGGAAGUUCCCAAAAUCCAAACAAAUGUUGGAAGAUAUUUUUAAGUCUCCGCAUCUUUCUUACUUUCCUAUAUGAAAAUAAAAUUGGACUACACCAACAAAGGUUAUGUGUUUUGCACCAGAUUGAAAGCAUCAUAGCGAAAAACGGACCUGUCAUAUCUUUAAAUUUUCAAAAAAGCCCCUGGAAAAAGAAAAAUGAAUAUCUUUGCCAAUGAAUAGGUACUAAGGCAAAUGGAUAAAAAACCUUCAGUCCAUGCAUUGGUAUGUAAUUGUUGACAAAAAUACAAUGAAUGGCCUCACUACUUUUCCACAUGCAAAGAGGUUAACCAAGGAGAAAUUAAAGAAAUUGUCAAAAACCUAGGUAAAUACAGAAUUGCUUAGUACAAACAUAUCUAUACCCAGUACAAGUUCGUCCACUUCUUUGAAGCAUGGUACUUCAAACAGAAACACUGUCAACAAUUUUGUAGAAGGUGAGCCGGUGUCAAAUUCCAGUAAGGGACAUGAUUUCAAUUUUGCACCAACAGCAGAGCUAAAAUUCAUUUUGCCGCAAAAAACUGGAGGAUGUGAAAGAAAAAAGUGCAGAAGUUAAAAUUAAGUUUUUCAUAUGAGCACAUAAAAAAUAAUCAUGACAAAGUUCAGUUGUAUACAGGUUUGACAUGUAAUAAAUAUUUUUGUAAUCUUAUUAAGUUAAUUAGUUUUAUAUAUUAUUUAAAUAAUAAUUGUAUACUUCACAUAGAAUAUGCAGAAAUUAUAUGUACAUAUAUAAAUUUUUUUAUUAAGAUAAGGACAACAUGUAUUAAAGCAUAACACAUAAUAUAAACACACACGUAAUAUCUUCAUUAAAAAUUAUGAUUGUAUGUUAUGUAGCAUUAGAGCCUAAAAACAUUAAGGAGAAUAAAGGUCGUUAUUGGCAAA
rnacentral:lncRNA from 1 species